rnacentral:misc_RNA from 1 species
AUGCGAAACGUAAUGCGAUUUGCAUGAAUCUGUGAGUCAUCAAGUCUUUGAACGCACCUUGCACCGAGUGAGCAAUCGCUCGGUAUACCUGUUUGAGAAUCGUAACCUUCUUUCAAUCCUCCCUUUGGGGGCGGUUGAAGACUUGUCGGUUGUAAUUCAUUGUCUUUGGAUUACUCUGAUUAAAUGUAGUAGGGUUGAAUCGGGCUGGUGGCCCGAGACACUGUGUGCUAGAGACAAAUCCGGCGGGAACGUUGGAAAGUCUUCUCACAGUGCGUCUCGGGUCAAUCCAAAGCUGGCCUGAUGAUACAGUCCUGAACGGUGCAGUCCUUGAGGCUGUACGUUAUUUCUCUCUUUGAUCUCAAAUCAGGUAAGGCUACCCGCUGAACUUAA